CAUGCUGCUACGCAGGGUGUAUGAAUGAAUAUUGUGUGAGAAAGCAUGUGUGUGAGGUCUUGAGCUCUAGAGUUUUAUUGUUGUAUGUAUUGUUCACAGGAAAACAUGAAUGAUAUUGCCUGAAUCUUGAUGAUUGAUUGAAUUGCAUGUGAAUGUCAUAUGAUCAAGGUCAUUUUUGAAAACCCUUCUCUAGCCAAAUUUUCACCCACAGAGCUUAAAAUAUUAUACCCUUUUUGAACCUUAGCCUUAAACAGGAUGUGAACCCUUGUCUUGAAAUUCUUUACCUUGAGUGGGAUGAGCUUAACUGUAUGUGAUGAAAAGGUUCAAGUUUGGGGUUGCAUGGGGGAAAUUGAAAAGUUGUUAAAGAAACAGUGAGCUCAAUUGUUGAAAGAGAAAAAUGCAUGAAAAAAAGAAAAGAAGAGAAAAAUAAGCAUGAAGAUGAGCUCAAUGAAAAAGAAAAGGGAAAAAGUUGGGAAUAAGAGAGAUUGGUGAGGAAGAGAGUUAUGCUUAAAUGUUGAAUAUUAUGAUAGCUCUCUUAACUCAAGGAUUUUGCUUUCUGGAAAAACCAUUUUUUCUUG
rnacentral:lncRNA from 1 species